rnacentral:rRNA from 1 species
UACAUAGGGGGCAAGCGUUAUCCGGAUUUACUGGGUGUAAAGGGUGCGUAGGCGGCAAUAUAAGUCAGAUGUGAAAACCCGGGGCUCAACCCCGGGACUGCAUUUGAAACUAUAUAGCUAGAGUACAGGAGAGGUAAGUGGAAUUCCUAGUGUAGCGGUGAAAUGCGUAGAUAUUAGGAAGAACACCAGUGGCGAAGGCGACUUACUGGACUGACACUGACGCUGAGGCACGAAAGCGUGGGGAGCGAACAGG